CGGCGGACGGGUGAGUAACACGUGGGUAACCUACCUAUAAGACUGGGACAACUUCGGGAAACCGGAGCUAAUACCGGAUAAGAUAUCGAACCGCAUGGUUCGAUAGUGGAAGAUGGUUUUGCUAUCACUUAUAGAUGGACCCGCGCCGUAUUAGCUAGUUGGUGAGGUAACGGCUCACCAAGGCAACGAUACGUAGCCGACCUGAGAGGGUGAUCGGCCACACUGGAACUGAGACACGGUCCAGACUCCUACGGGAGGCAGCAGCC
rnacentral:rRNA from 1 species